rnacentral:rRNA from 1 species
AACUCCAAUAGCGUAUAUUAAAGUUGCUGCGGCUAAGAAGCUCGUAGUUGGAUUUCUGCCGAGGACGACCGGUCCGCCCUCUGGGUGAGUAUCUGGCUCGGCCUGGGCAUCUUCUUGGAGAACGUAGCUGCACUUGACUGUGCGGUGCGGUAUCCAGGACUUAUACUUUGAGGAAAAUAGAGUGUUUCAAGCAGGCACGCGCCUUGAAUACAUUAGCAUGGAAUAAUAAUAUAGGACCUCGGUUUUGUUUUGUUGGUUUCUAGAGCUGAGGUAAUGAUUAAUAGGGAUAGUUGGGGGCAUUCGUAUUUAACUGUCAGAGGUGAAAUUCUCUGAUGUGUUAAAGACGGACUACUGCGAAAGCAUUUGCCAAGGAUGUUU